rnacentral:rRNA from 1 species
GAUGAACGCUAGCGAUGUGCCUAAUACAUGCAAGUCGAACGAGGAAAUUUAUUUCCUAGUGGCGAACGGGUGAGUAACACGUAUUUAAUUUACCCUUGCGAGGGGGAAUAACUAAUGGAAACGUUAGCUAAUACCCCCAUAUGUGUAAAGACAUAUGUUUUUAUUAUUAAAGGAUCGUUUUGGUUCCGCGCAGGGAUAAGAGUGCGUUGUAUUAGUUAGUUGGUGGGGUAAUGGCCUACCAAGACUAUGAUGCAUAGUCGAUCUGAGAAGAUGACCGGCCACAUUGGGACUGAGAUACGGCCCAGACUUCUACGGAAGGCAGCAGUAAGGAAUAUUCCACAAUGGGCGCAAGCCUGAUGGAGCGACGUCGCGUGAUUGAUGAAGGC